AGACGUGCAGCGCCUACCCAUAAUUCCUUACCAUUUCCAAUCUUCAGCUGGACAUCUCUUCAUUUAAAAUCGGAGGAAAAAAAGAAAUAUUAGAAUGUGUGUUUGAACCUCUUUCAUCAGAAUUUUACAAAGUCUGAAAAAAAAAUUUGAAUUUCUAGACUCAGGAAUGUUAAUUUUGAAUUAAGGGAGAGCGACAAAUCCAAACCAUGACUUGGAGGCUGGACCAGGUAGUAUUCCUGGCCGUGGUCGUCAUGGCGACCAUCACGCUGUGUGAUAAGAGUGUGUUCGACUGGGUUCCGAAAGAUAACUACGGUAAAAUAAACGGUCUGAUGACCGACAUACAGAAAUCCUAUGACUGCAAGGGUAAAACCCAACAAUCCAUGACUCUGCCCAAAGACACCGUCUCACAGAUUCCUCGAGCCAAUCAGCUGUUAAACAAAAUCUGGUACACAAACAGAUCUUCUCUUGUUCAUAUGCACAACAUGGCGCUGAACAGGGCUUAUUUCUUUAGCUACAUAUUUCAAAAGUUGAACAAAUCUCAGUCGGACUUCCAGUACCAGCCAGGCUGGUUCUAUAUGUAUGUGUCCACUACAGCCGACGUUAACGGCAACAAGGGCAUUUUUAACGGCUCCGCUGUGAUGUUCGACAACCACACACACUAUCCAAACUGGAUGACGAACCUUGACUUCAACACAACGCUCCCCUUGUUCGGCGUUAACUCUUUCCGGUUUGACGAUACUUUCGAUAUGGGAGUUAUACUACGUGAACCCACGGGAAGAACAACAUUAGUACAAGAUAUAGGUGCUAUCGGAAAUUAUACGCACAAAGGAUAUAAGAUGGCACCCUGGUAUAAUUUUUGGCUGCCAGAUAACGAACCUACACUAGAUUCAGUGCAAAAAUUUACCUACGCGUGGAACGUGAAGUACGCCAAUGGCACCGGCCGCUUCCUCCACGAUGAAUUUCAGACCACGCCUUUUUUUGGACCGAACUCUCCUGGUAUCGGGGACACUGAUGACAAAUACAUGCCUGUCCGUUUUACGGACGUUUACUAUGACUGUAAAAUGUCCAACAAAUGGAUUCUAAGCGCCGUGGCUCCGAUUGUAGAUUUUAUGCCGAGAUAUUCUAACUAUACCCAUCUAAGGAGACCAAGGUUUGUCGGUGUAACAGUGAUGGACAUCAGUUUCCUUAAGGUAGACUUCAACGCUUGCCCGGUCAGUAUUGGAAACCCUGGCCCAAGCUUCCUGUCUGGAGUCAGUAAAUGUAAAACCAAGACCACACAAUGUAAGCAUGUAUCCGGGAAAGGAUUCAAGCGAGGGGCAUAUGUGUGCAUUUGUAACUCCGGAUACAGUUACCCCCCAAGGGUUGGUCCUCCUUGGAAAGGUGGAGAUUAUGAGAAAGCGACUGAAUUCGAAAUCAACGUUGGCUACAACUGCAGACCAACUGGAUUUCUUCGUGUACUGCCUGUUGUUGACACGAGUUCCAUCAAGGUUAACGUGGAGGGUGAUUCCGGAUCCGAUAUAUUCCUGACGGACCCCUACACCGGACGCCAGCUCAAAUCCAUCAAUGCGAGCGAGGUGAACGGACCUACCAGUAAAAAAACAAGUCAAAAACCGGUCAAAACAGUGAAAAGAAAGCCAGUCAAGAAAGACUAUAUUGAUCAGGAAUUCAAUGAGAAACAGAAACCAAUGAAGAAGAAGAACAAGAAGAGGAAGAGGCGAGAAGCACAGUUUGAUCAAAUUAGUUUUGAUAGAAUGCAGUCCAUCUUUCGCAAAAUCAAAAACAUUAACAAAGAAAAUUGUAAAACGUUUUCUAACCGCGCCAGGCUCCUACCCGGGGAUGUGGGCUAUGGCGUGGAGACACAGUUUGACCCCCAGGCAAGGUUCGCUCUUCGAAUCUCUCACCUGCUGAGUAACUGGUAUCAGAACGUGAUUCCUGGCGAAAACUUUGGAUACCUAAAAGGAGGAAACAGGAUCCACCACGAACUGAUGUUCGGCGAGGUGCUCGCCAACGUGAUGGCCGAUUACAAGGUCUUGUCCAGUGGGAUUUACUUUGAACCACACGUGUUCGAGGACUGGGACGGGAAAUCGCGGGAGUAUUUUGGUCCGUUUGCUUACAAGCGGGACAAUAAUGCGUUUGCCAUUGAUACAGCAGGAUUCAAAACCAGAUACACGGAUGAGGAUUGGUACAGUAAGAUUCGACAGAGAUGGCAAACCAACACGGCGGGUCUUCUCAAGUACAGAAUGAAGGCAAAGGUACAGUGUUCACAGUGACAGAGUGGAAAUGAUGAGGUCCCAGUCAAUAACCGCACUCCAUAUUCACAACCAAUAGCAUCUAAUGUAUUCACAUCUAAAAUAUCACUCAAUAUUUACAAACCUUAUCUACUUCACUACGCUCUUGUCUCUUAUGCAUUUGUUUAUAUUUCGGUAUCAAUGCAAAACUAACUGUUUUUGGCAGGUGCGCUCUGACAUUAAAGGAUCCAGUUCAGUCAACUUUGAGUACUACCCAAUGGGGUACAAAGCGCCCAGUGUCACACACGGAAUAUGGAGUCAGCCUUACUUCCGAUGUGACGGCCGCGUGGACGCAUGGGUAAUGACAUAUGCGGUGCCGUUCAUUGGUAUGGAUCGCUUGCGAACAAAACUCCAAUUUAAGGGCGUGGUUACGGUGGACGUGCCUUUGCAGGAACUAGAGAUCAAUCAGUGUUACCAGUCCUACAACAUCCAGAACGCCUUCAAAAACACUGCCAGGUGUCAUUACGCGUCACAAACAUGUUCUCCCAUCGCCGGAUACAAGUUCUCCCGGGGUGCCUACAAGUGCGCGUGUCGUCAAGGUUACGAGUACCCGUUCAGAGACGGACGGAACUUCUUCCAGGGGUCGCUGGUAGACAUCGAAUACGAAAAGAAAAUGGCCGGCCUCUUCAAUCUGUUUGACUCCAUAAAAUGCCGAACGCAGGGCGUCUCCAUGGUGAUAUGCAAUACUCUCACACUGGUUGCCAUGACACUCGUCGCCUUCCUUAGCAAAAACCUCUGAGCUCAUCUGCCAAAUAUCAUCGUCCUAUCAUAAAUCGAUCUCCGGAUUGUUACGUCAUUACCAUCUCAUACUCAAGAGUGAUAAUUAAGUGCUUGAACGUGUGAUAUUAACUGGGCGUGUGUGAGAAAUCGGUGAAAUCCCGACCGUUUGUAUCAAAACGGUCUUGUUAUUGAAUACAUGCAUAAUGGUUGGUGUAAAAGACGUCACUGUUUCACCAUAGAAUAUUUUACUUUACAUUGGUUUUACAACUCAGUUUCUUAGCUGAUAAAGUAAAAUUUUAAUCAAUAGUUCAAAUGAAAUCCAUUUUAGAAUAACGAGUUUUUAUGAUUUUUUUUUUUGCACCAGCAAUUACUUUUUGUUCCAUGAAAUUUUUAUUGCUGGAAUAACUUUGUAGAUGAAAUCCAUGUUCGAAUUUUUAUUGCAAGGAAUCCAUUUCAAAAUGUUGUUUGUAUAACAAUGUUAUAUAUUUUUAUCUUACUGCUUAUGCAAUAAACAGUUAUAUAUUU
rnacentral:misc_RNA from 1 species